UUUAGUUUGUCGCAGGUUCGGGAAUGCCACAAAAGUUAAAAGUCAAUCCAAGAGAUCAAAAUGUCUUCGGAACAAAGCCAACAAGACGUUGAGGCAAAAGCAAACACGGUUGCCCCAAAAAAUGAAAGUGGAGAUCGGAGUGCUGGUCACGAUUAUGAGGAUGUGCUUCAACUAAUCGGAUUCGGGCGUGUGCAAUGGAUUGUCCUCUUGGCGGCAGGACUCCUCCUGAUGAUGGUCAUAAACGAGACCAUGGGCAUGUCCUAUAUAACCAUUGUGUCCCAGUGUGAUUUUGAAAUGAAUUCAAAAGAUAAAGCCAUUAUGAGUGCUGCCAGUUUUAUCGGAAUAUUCUGUUCCUCAUAUUUUUGGGGAUAUUUGAGUGACACUAUAGGUCGCAGACCGGUAUUGAUUUAUACCACCAUUGCUGGAAAUGUGCUAUCUGUGUGCUCUAUUUUUAUUCCAAACUAUUGGUUCUACGUCUUUCUACGUUUUGGUGUAGGAUUCUUCAUUGCUGGAGCCUCUUCCACGACUUAUGCGUACUUGGGAGAAUUCUUUACUCCCCGACACCGUCCCAUUGCCAUAAACUACGCCAGUCUUUUUGUGGGAAUUUCCACGGUCUAUGUGCCAGCCAUUGCCUGGCUGGUGCUAUCCAUGGAUUGGAGUAUUAGUGUGACGGAUGACUUUGCUUUCCGUCCUUGGCGACUUCUUACCAUUUGCUAUAUGCUCCCCGGAGUAAUAGGAACCAUAAUGCUGUGGACUUUACCGGAAAGUCCCAAGAUUCUAUUGUCCUUACACAAAACGGAAGAGGCUUUUUCGGUAGCGGAUUGGAUUGCAGUGAAAAACUCAGGGAAACAUUUGCAUGAAUUCAAAGUACAAAAACUAAAAACAGAAGGUUGUUCUGAUGGAGAGAAUAUUCUACUCAUAUCUAAAUCAGCCAACCAUAAAGAAAAUGUGGAAGGAAACACUGCCACUUCUGAAAAGACCGCACCUGGUAAACUUUGUUAUAAGUUGCACAAUCAUGUGUGGCCUAUUUUUCAGUUCCUCUGGCAUGGGUCUUUGGUAUCCAGAGAUUCAAAACCGUUUGGGUUCUGCGGACUCUGACAAUUUAACAGUCUGCAACGUUAUCGAUGCCUCCAUUGAUCAAAUGCAAGCCAAUCAGACUAAUAAAGUGUGUGAUGAUCACAUAAACACCAAGAGCUACGUUGAUACAAUCACUUAUGGAACCGCCUUAAUAGUGGGCUACAUCUUAAUGGGCCUUGUCAUAAACAAAAUUGGACGAAAGGCUUCCAUUUUCCUUGGCCUUACCUUCGCUGGAGCCUGUGCUCUAGCCCUGAUUUGGAUCAAAGACGAUGUGGCUAUUGUGAUAGCCUUCUGUUUGUAUUUGGUCCUGCCAGGGCUUUGCAUAUCGAUCCUCAGUGGAGCUGUAGUGGAUCUUGUUCCAACCCAUCUCCGCGGAAAAGCAGUAUGUAUUUGUCUGAUGCUCGGAAGAACAGGAAGCGUUUUUGGUAGCAACAUUAUUGGAGUACUACUGGACGCCUAUUGCACUGCGACAUUCGGGGUUUUCUCUGGAUUUGUUUUACUCUGCGCCUUAUUGACGUUGAUACUGCCUAUUUGAGAUUGUUAUGUUAUUUAAUAUAAUUUAGAUUAAUUUAUAUUUAAUUUUAGUUUAGAGUAAACUAAAUAUUGUUGUUUAAAAUGAAUAAACAGUUUUG
rnacentral:misc_RNA from 1 species